UUAAAUUGGUAUACUAAUGUUUAAACCAGGGGUGUCAAACGUAUGGCCCGCGGGCUGAAUCCGGCCCACUGAACGCUUUAGUCCAGUCCGGUGGCCCAAUGCAUUUUCAUUAUUCAACGGCUUUAUCUCCUCGCUGCAUCGACCGAUCUUCACCAGAUUUUUUGUGAGUCGUGGGGGAGUGCUGCCCAAUGCGUUCGUGUGAAUCGCCCGGUAGACGGGCGGGAAAAAUGCGUGACAACUUCUGCGGUGGCUGGCACUGGCGGUGCGCGAAUUUGGCCCUCGCUUGGCUGCGAGGGCCGAUCAUCACCGCUUGCGGUUUUAAUUUUAUUUGUUUUUUAUUUAUUUAUUUAUUUAUACCCCGUUUAAAAAGUCUCUGUCCGCUUAUUAUUUCUACAGUAACAUCCCAGUCUAAACACGGAAAUAUUGAGACUGAGCCAGCAGUACAGCCUUCUCGAUCAUCUCCUCAGCUGGUUGGAUCCUUGGCUCAUCACACACCCACCGGUUUGUUUACAACUGCGACCCGCUUGGCGCUACACCGAGCUGCAAGAAACGUGUGCUGCAGCUUAUGACGCAAAUCGCCGUUGACAGAUAUUUUGAAAUAAACGUCGAAGGUUGUUGAACGAAUUCCGUCCUCAGGUCGCAGUGCAUCAUUCUACCGCCUGCAAGCUGCUCGACUUGUGAGAUCCUGCCAGAUUCUGAUGGACGAACUCUUCCAGCCACCGACACAACACUAACUGUUAACCAAAAAAAUUGUGACCUCUGUAAAAAUGGGCAGCCAGCAAAUUAGAGAUGCUUUAAAUUAAAUGUUGUAAGCUUUGAACAACCUUCAAAAUAUACCUGUUCAGCAUAUGUCUGGGUUUGUCAAUUUACAUCAAUGUAAUUCUCCGGAUAGACAUCAGGAGCAGACGGACCCGGCUUGGAAUUAUGAGCGUUUAUUAUCAGUAGAACAAGCCAUCCAUCAAUUAAACGCUUCAUUCUCUCAACCACUCUCGUCUGAAAAUGAUUGUUUACACUUUCAGCAGCAAGUUACAGAUGUUUUAAAUUAAAACACACAAAUGGCUAAUGACCUUUAAAAUAUACCUUUUCAGCAUGCGUCUGGGCAGUGGCGGCUGGCCCAUAGGGGGCGCUCGGGCGCUGCCCUCCCUAGAUGUGGAGGGGAAAAGUCAAAAUAUAUGUAGAUUUCAAAAGUAUUAUUAAUGUCAGUUUUUCAUUAAUAGUAUGUAGCUACAUGU